UGUGCAUGCACACACAACCAUUUUAUGUGCCUCAGCAUGUCUCCCACCCACAACAGGAAAGCAGUUCAAAAGGAGAAAAAAGCUAUGGCCUUUCCAGAUGGGUAGGAUUUUUUUUUUCUGCAGGUGUAUUAUGUAAUACAGUCGUACCUGGGUUUUCGAGCAGCUUAGUUCUCGAACGUUUUUGCUCCCAAACGCCGCAAACCCAUAAGUGACUGUUCCAAUUUGCAUAUUUUUGGAAGCCAAAUGUCUGACAGGGCUUCUGCGGCUUCCGAUUGGUUGCAGGAGCUUCCUGCAGCCAGUCAGAAGCUGCACUUUGGCUUCCAAAUGUUUUGGAAGUCGAACGGACUUCCGGAACGGAUUCCGUUCAACUUCCAAUGUAUGGCUGUGUUUGUUGGUUUCUGCUUUCCUUCACUGUGCAGCUCUACAUGUCACGAGACAGGUGCUUACAUUCCACAGUCUGUACUGUUGGAGUUUCUCACGGGAAAGGGAGACUGGAUGUGACGUACACUGGUUUCCUGUUUUUUUCACUGUGUUUUUUUUUCUCUCCGAGCUGUUGAGGAGAGAGGAUGCAUUCUCUGCUCCGGCAGAGGCAAGAUGUCUUUCUGUAUUAUACCAGCUUUGAACUGUAAAUAAAGCAAUAAGGAGUAUGCAGCACAUUUUCCUCAUCCUUCCGCUGGCAACCAGACUCUGCUUUAAAUCAACACGUGGUUAUGGACUCCAGAGGUCGAAUCGGAGUGCCGGCAAAGGAUCGGAAUGCAGAGGGACGGAUCGGAAAGGAAUCUGCUCUGCGCGUAGAAGUGAUUGAUGAGGUAUGUGCUACUGCUCCGGGCAGCCUGCCAGCUUCAAGAUAAUGGCUUUAUGGCUGGACUUUGAACUUUUAAAGCCGGUUUUGCAAAUAGGCAAAAGGCUCCCAGGCACAAGUCACUAUGCUGGGGAAAUCGAAGUAACUUUUAAGUGUGCCGUUGUAAUGAGGCAGCUGCAGCAGUGACGCAGCAAGAUUUAAAGCAGCAUAUGACGCUGAAGGCUAAUGCCAGAGUCAUGAUGGCCCUUCAGGAUGCUUGUGGGAUUCCUAAGCUCAACAAGAAAAAUUACAGCGACUGGGUUCAGUAUGCAGAGGCAAUUCUGCGGAAAGAGGGUUUGUUUGAGGUGAUUACAGAAACCCCCAGUUCCAGUUACAGAUGCAUGGGAAGCUAAGGAUUCCAAAGCAAGGGAACUCUUACAUUGAUAGUAUCCCCAGAAGAGCUCUGUCUAUUGCGUGAUAAGACCUCAGCCAGAGAAAUUUGGGACGCUCUGAGAGAGGCUCACUUAAGGACAGAAGCUGGAUCCACUAUGUUUUAUUUUAACAAGCUGCAUAAUAUGGCUCUUGCUGAAGGUGGAGAUGUGCGUUUACAUCUGAUGCAGAUGCAAAAUCUCAGACAUGAGCUGCAACAGAGAGGACUCAACUUUCCAGAGGCUGUGUAUUCUUUCAUGAUACUACAAUCUUUGGGUUCAGGUUGGGAGUCUGUUGCAACCCAGAUUGCUGUGCAACCAACUGCUCAGCUGACAGUGGACUUUGUUACUGCCGUGAUUUUAAAUGAAGCAGAUCGCCGGGUGCUAGCUGCAUGGGCAAAGGGGAGUCUUCACAGACGUCAUCCCAUAGUGCAGUGGAACCACCAGAUGGCGCCAAAGCUUUGAAGGCAGUGAAAUGCUACUCAUGUGGACGUCUAGGCCAUAUGAAGAGGGAAUGCAGACAUCCCAGGGCCAAGACAGAGCAGCGCAGCGAAAGCUCAUCGCGCGGAAAAGGCCGAGGCAAAGGCAAAGGUCCGGUGUCUAGGACAACGCAGCACAAGGCUAUGGUUUCACGCUUCACUCCAAAGGUUGCAGAGGUCCAGAAGACGUCUAGAUCUUUCUUCGUUGUUGAUUCAGCGGCGACCCACCACAUGUGCAACGAUAAGAAACUGUUUGUGUCUUUUACACCGCAGGAAGGUGCGAUUCACCAGGCGGAUGACCACACUAUUCCCAGUAAAGGCUACGGAACUGUUGUUCUUCACAGUUUGGACUUAUCGAUACAGAAUGUGCUUUACGUGCCAGACGCCAAACAUAAUCUGCUCAGCGUUGGACAGCUGAAUGAGCGGAACAUUGACGUUUCCUUCAAGAACAAGAAGUGCAUCAUCACAAAGAAAAUGAUUAUGUAUUGCAUGCAGAAUAUGUUGAUCGUUUGUUUGUUUUGUAUUAUGAUGAUGUGGUGCAGGAUGACACUUGUUGCAUUGCAGGUUCUAACAAAAGUUUGCAUGCAGAAUGUAUUCACGAUUUUCAUCGAAAAUUUGGUCAUUUGCAUUUUGAGGCAGUAUCUAAAAUGCCUGCCUUGGUUGAAGGUAUGACUAUUAAACCCUGCAGGUACCACAUGAAGUGCAAAGCAUGCGCAGCAAACAAGGUGAAAAUGGCUGCGAAAGGUAAGGUGUCUAGUAGGACAGCUACAGAACCAUACCAGGUUGUUCAUGCUGAUUUGGUUGGACCAUUAGCGCCCUCUUUGGGUGAAAAUAGAUACUUCAUGGUUCUCAUUGAUGCAUUUUCUAGAUAUAUUUUUGUGUACAAUCUCAAGCAGAAAUCGGAGGCUUUUCCUAGGUUCAAGGAAUUCUGUGCUUGGUUGGAAAAUGUGCAUGGUAAGAAGAUAAAGACUCUUUUCAGUGAUCGCGGGAGAAUUCACUUCUCAGCAGUUUGAAGCUUUUCUGACUGAGAAAGGAAUUCAACACGAUUUGUCUAGUCCUCGCUCGCCAUGGCAGAAUGGACUUGCGGAACGGGCAAAUCAGACAUUGCUUCAAGGGUUAAAGACCUUGCUGCAUGAUGCCAAUCUUCCAGAGAGUUAUUGGGCCGAAUCUCUCUCGUGUUUUGUUUACAGUUACAAUCGCAGAUUAUCUUCAGCGAUUGGUUGUACCUCUAUGAGAAGAUGUUUGGCAAGAAGCCAUACAUCAAACACAGAUUUUGUUCUGACAUGGGUUCGCCCCACAAAAUAACAUGAGGUACUUAGGUAAGAUCUAAUAAUGUGAUACUCUAAAAAGCUCACGAAGUGAAUGGGGAUGGAUUUUACUGACUGAGAGACGGAUGUCAAGCAACCCACACACGAUAAGCUGAGUCUGACUGUGAUCAGUUUAUCUCUCAACCAUUGUUCAAGGUGUUUUGGAGGAAGAGACUAUCGGAGAAUCUGACAAGCAUGACGAAAGCCAGAUGACCUUAGUUCAAAUCAGGGUUGAUUAAAAGCAUGGUAAACCAUGAAGGAUUGAACAAACAUGGGGUCCAGACAGGAUGAAACUGUGGUCUUAAGCGAACAGUCAUGCAUAGUCGACCAGCCAGAUUUGCCAGGUUGCCAGGUCGACAUCAAACCUAUUCCCCAUGAAAAGCAUUUCACUAGCGCGGAACACAUAGCACUGAUAUUCAGCUUUCUGUCGAUUAUAUCUUUAUAUGCUUCCACCUGAUGGCGUACAGGUAAAACAGGGAUUUGUUUGUGCUCUGAAGAAAUCCCUUUAUGGUCUCAAACAAAGUGCACGGUGUUGGCACACAAAACUCACUGAAGUAUUGUUUUCUCUAGGUUUUCAGCAAGGGAAAGCUGAUCCAUGUGUAUUUGUCAAAGAGGAGGGGCAAAAGAAACUGUACUGUUUGUUUUAUGUUGAUGAUUUAUUAUUCUUUUGGAAAGAUGUUGCAAUGUACAAUAGCGCCCUAGCUCAACUGAAAGAGCACUUUGACAUGAAAGAUCUUGGUGAGGUAAACAACUACCUAUCUCUGGAAAUAGAGAGAGAUCAAGAUGGUAACAUUCUAGUACACCAGUCACGGAAAAUUGCUGAUGUGUUAAGCAAACUAAAUCUGAUGGAUGCUAACCCUGUAGACACACCGAUGACAACAGGUUAUCAGGUAGAUGACACUGAAGAAGCAUUUUCUGACACUACACUGUACAGGAGUGUGCUAGGCAAGCUAAACUUCAUUGCCAGAUGUUCAAGACCAGACAUUGCUGUUAGCUGUAAUUUGCUAAGCAGACAAGUCAACAAUCCUAGUGUCAAGGAUUGGAAAGCUCUGAAACGCAUAGCGCGGUAUUUGAAAGGCACUAUGCAUUACAGACUGAGAUUUAACAAUCAGAAGUCUGGUGGUCUUGAGAUAUUUGCAGAUGCAAGUUUUGGAAGUGACGCUACAGACAGGAAAAGUACGUCUGGAGUUUGCUACAUGUACAAUCAGGGUCUGUUUGAUUGGUCAUGCAAGAAGCAAACAACAGUUAGCUUAAGUACUUGUGAAGCCGAACUGAAUGCACUGUCUUAUUCACUUAAGGAUUGUGAAUGGUUAGUACAAUUGUGCAAAGAUAUGAAAAUUCCUGUCAAAUGUCCAAUCCAGGUUUACCAGGACAACAAAGCAUGUUUGGCUUUGCUGAAGUCUGAAGGUUGUAAGCAAAGCACAAAGCACUUGCAAUUAAAGUUGCAGCAUGCUAGGGAAUGUAUUCAGAAGGGACUCGUAACGGUGUCCUAUAUGCCAGGUAAUGAAAUUCCUGCUGAUGUAUUGUCCAAGAUUGUAUCGAGGGAUCAACACUGUACCUAUGUGCAGAAGUUGGGUUUGUACUGAUAUUGUACAAACACGCUGCCCAGUGAUGUUCACAGAAAGGGGAGGAUGUUGGUUUCUGCUUUCCUUCACUGUGCAGCUCUGCAUGUCACGAGACAGGUGUUUACAUUCCACAGUCUGUACUGUUGGAGUUUCUCACGGGAAAGGGAGACUGGAUGUGACGUACACUGGUUUCCUGUUUUUUCACUGUGUGAUUCUCUCCGAGCUGUUGAGGAGAGAGGAUGCAUUCUCUGCUCCGGCAGAGGCAAGAUGUCUUUCUGUAUUAUACCAGCUUUGAACUGUAAAUAAAGCAAUAAGGAGUAUGCAGCACAUUUUCCUCAUCCUUCCGCUGGCAACCAGACUCUGCUUUAAAUCAACAGUGUUAUGUACUGAGUUGAAUAGGAUCCAAAAUGCAGCAGUCUGAUUGGUCCUAGAACAAUAGGAUCCAAAAUGCAGCAGUCUGAUUGGUCCUAGAACAAUAGGAUCCAAAAUGCAGCAGUCUGAUUGGUCCUAGAACAAUGCAGCGGUAUGAUUGGUCCGCAAGAGCCACCCAAUCCAGCUCCAGAUGGAAGUGAAUCCACAACCUGAUUGGCCUACAGGAGAAUUCUGGAAUUAGCCAAUCACAUGCAGCCCAUUGUGUAAAUAAUGUAUAUAAAGCAGAUACUGUGGGGAAACUUCCAUUCCUCCUCACCACUAUGAGCUGAAUAAAGAGCAUGAAAUCAACUCUCGACUCCGAGUAUAUUUCAGGCUGUAUGUCAUUGAAGGAAUAACAGUGCCUUAGUAGUGGAUUUAUGGGACGCGGGUUGCACUGUGGUCUAAACCACAGAGCCUAGGGCUUGCCGAUCAGAAGGUCGGCAGAUCAAAUCUCCACGACGGGGUGAGCUCCCGUUGCUCAGUCCCUGCUCCUGCCAACCUAGCAGUUUGAAAGCACGUCAAAGUGCAAGUAGAUAAAUAGAUACCACUCCGGCGGAAAGGUAAACAGUGUUUCUGUGCGCUGCUCUGGUUCACCAGAAGCGGCUUAGUCAUGCUGCCCACAUGACCUGGAAGCUGUACACCAGCUCCCUCUGCCAGUAAAGCAAGAUGAGAGCCGCAACCCCAGAUUCGUUCGCGACUGGACCUAACGGUCAGGGGUCCCUUUAGCUUUAGCUUUAGUAGUGGAUUUAUACUGGACCAUCCACCCAUUAUUUCACUUUAUUAGUUGUUUUGCAAUGCUUCCCCAACACUAACGCAUUCUUGCCAUCUGGAGGGUGAAAGCAAUCUUGUCAUCUGUAGCGCAACAAAAGUGGACAAAUAUUAAACCUGAAUAUGUGUGGCAUUUUAAAGUUACAGGGUUUUAGCAGGAAGCUAUAGGACAUGCGCUCACCAGAGAUAAAGCAGGAUGUCAGCCCCAAAACUUCUGCAGGCACAAAGUGUAUAAACUGUCCGUUUACCAUCAUGAGCCCAAAUCAUCAUCAGCACAUAAUAAAAAGUAUGGGAGGGGAGCGUAGUACUGACUCAUCCGGCAGUGUCCCAGAGCUCUCCCUCCACAAUAAAUGUUGCUCCCUGGGCUUCAGAGAGGCUGAGAGCAAGCAGAGCCCACAGUGUACAAGAUUAAUCCAUUCCGGGGUUUUUGCCACUCCCUACCUGUCCUGAGUCUCAACCAUCUCUCUUUUUUUAUUCUCACCCCACUCCCCUUGGAAACUUGCAUCUUCUCUUCAAGUUGCUGAUUGUUCAGCCCAGCCAUGCCUGUCCCCACACUCCUCUCUCUGACCUUCUUCUCCCCACAGCUGCAGCCAGUUUAUCUAACAGGAUGUCUAAUUUAUGUCCAAUACAAAUGCGUGCAAACAACAACUUAUCUAUUUUAGCACCUUGCAUUAAACUUUCCCUGGGGAGAGAUAAUAAAACCUUCAGGCCUUCCGUUGCCUGCACGCUCUCUCUCUCUCUCUCACACACACACCCACCCCAAAAACCCCACCCUCUUUUCUCGUCAGUUUGUGGCUUCCAUGAACAUUAGGACUUUCGCCACAGAUAGAAAGCAGAUCCCACCUGCCCCAGAACAAGAUAGCAGCAGAUUGCUCUUUUAUCUGUGUGUGUCUGUCUAAACAACCUGCGUCUUGUCACCUCGGAGGGAAAGCAGUACCAAGCAAGGUGGCAAAUGCACAGUGCAGGGCCCAUAAAUCGAGCAGGUUGUUGCUCCCAGCCUGGGAAGGAGAAAUGAGCAUCGCAUUUAUGAGGAAGCAGCACUCAUACACACACACACAUGCAUAUACGCACACGGUCAAGAAGAAAUCCCAGUUAGGGCUGACUGCUGAAAGGCCUUGUCAUGCUCUACACACACACACACACACACACACACACACACACACACACACCCUUGAGAGAAGCAACCAAUGCGGACACUAAGUGAGGCCUGUCUCCCAAGGGCUGUUUAGCAUUCUGGUUGCGCACACCACCGGCAAGGAGCGGGCCAAGCCCACUCAGAUUUCACAGCACGUCCGCAAGUCAUUGGCAGGUUUAAAGCCCUACAAAGGCAAAGCCUGAACGAGGCAGUGAUGGAGUGAUCGAGCGCACAGCCAUACAUGCCCAGGCACAUAUGAGAGCAGAAUGGAUGCAUGCAGCAGCACGCUGAUGUAGCCCUCAUGCUCCCUCUCUUUCUCUGGGUCUGGCACAAAUGCACAAUGGCAUACCCUCCAACAUUUCUCCAAUGAAAAUAGGGGUGUCCCAUUCCAUAAUGAUAAUUUUACUACAGUGGUACCUCGGGUUAAGUACUUAAUUCGUUCUGGAGGUCUGUUCUUAACCUGAAACUGUUCUUAACCUGAAGCACCACUUUAGCUAAUGGGGCCUCCUGCUGCCGCUGCGCCGCCGGAGCACGAUUUCUGUUCUCAUCCUGAAGCAAAGUUCUUAACCUGAAGCACCAUUUCUGGGUUCGCGGAGUCUGUAACCUGAAGCGUAUGUAACCUGAGGCACCACUGUAUUUAUACCCCACACAUCUUAUUGGGUUGCCCCAGCCACUCUGGGCAGCUUCCAACAUAUAUAAAAACAUAACAAAACAUUUUUAAAAAAAUUAAAAACUUCCCUAUUCAGGAUUGCCUUCAAACGGCUCGGGGGUGGAUAACUCCAUACCCUCCAACAUUUCUCCAAUGAAAAUAGGGACAGCCUAAGGAAAACCGGGACAUUCCAGGAUCAAAUCAGAAACCAGGAUGCCAUCUCUAAAUCAGGGAUGUCCCUGGAAAAUAGGGACACAGAUAAGACACGUAAAUGGCACACAUGUAUUUUAAUGGCAGGCUAAUUUUGAAUAUAUUUUAGAAAUUUUGUUUAUUAUUUUUGCUGUUUGAUACAGUUUUGUUUCUUGGCUAUAUUGCUGCUACUUUUGUUCUGCUUUCAGAUUUUAUUGCCAUUCCUGAACCUAUCAGGAUACAGGGCACUUCCAGAUCGUCACUAUUUUCAGGUGGGAUUCAGCCACGUACCACCAAAUUCAAAGCACACAGUUAAAGUGAAUCUGGCACUCUAGAGCAGCAAACCAACUUCCUUGUAAAAAAAAACACAGGAAAGUGACAAGAAAAUGCCCUGGAAAGUGUUGGAUAACAUUUGCCUGACACAAGGUCGCCUCCCUGCAAACAAAUCAGGAGGAAAGCUCAACAAACAACCAAGGUCAUAUAACCUAAAAACUUUUGUGCAAACAACUGAGGAUGAAAGCUCAGCAAACAGGUCAUCUGAAAGCAGCCGCAGUUGGUUCAAACGUGAAAGAAACAUCAUGAGCACAAGUAAGGAAAAUGGUUGGCCACCCGCUUUCUAGUUACCCCCC